AUUGAACGCUAGCGGCAGGCCUAACACAUGCAAGUCGAGCGAGCGGCGGACGGGUGAGUAAUGUAUGGGGACUGCCCGAUAGAGGGGGAUAACUACGGGUAACGGUGGCUAAUACCGCAUACUGUCGGAAAACCCAGAGGGGCUUAGCUAGUAGGUAAGGUAAUGGUUUGCCUAGGCGACGCUCCCUAGCUGGGCUGGGAGGAUGAUCAGCCACACGGGAACUGAGACACGGCCCAGACCCCUACGGAGGCAGCAGGGGGGAAUAUUGCACAAGGGGCGCAAGCCUGAUGCAGCCAUGCCGCGUGUAGGAAGAAGGCCCGAGGGUUGUAAAGGACUUUCAGUCGGGAGGCGUUACCAACAGAAGAAGCACCGGCUAACUCCGUGCCAGCAGCCGCGGUAAUAC
rnacentral:rRNA from 1 species